GUCUUAGGGGUGUAGAGGUCAGCACGCUCAGCUCGUGUUCGAGAAGUCCGUGGUUCGAAUCCCGGUGAGGGCA
rnacentral:tRNA from 1 species